CUUCUACUCCCUCCGUCCGAAAUUACUUGUCAUCAAAAUGGAUGAAAAUGGAUGUAUCUAGAACUAAAAUACAUCUAGAUACAUCCAUUUCAAUGACAAGUAUUUCCGGACGGAGGGAGUAUUAA
rnacentral:pre_miRNA from 1 species